AUUGAACGCUGGCGUCAUGCCUUACACAUGCAAGUCGAACGUUAACAGGUCUUCGGAUGCUGACGAGUGGCGAACGGGUGAGUAAUACAUCGGAACGUGCCCGAGAGUGGGGGAUAACGAGGCGAAAGCUUUGCUAAUACCGCAUACGAUCUCAGGAUGAAAGCAGGGGACGGCAAGGCCUUGCGCUCACGGAGCGGCCGAUGGCCGAUUAGGUAGUUGGUGGGAUAAAAGCUUACCAAGCCGACGAUCUUGACCUUGUCUUCUGGGAUGGCGAGCAGCCAGACUGGGAAUGCGACAAGGCCCAGGCGCCUACGGGAGGCAGCAGUGGGUACUUGUGGACAAUGUGCGCAAGCCUGAUACAGCCAUGCCGCGUGCAGGAUGAAGGCCUUCGGGUUGUAAACUGCUUUUGUACGGAAAGAAAAGACUCUGGUUCAUACCUGGGGUACAUGACGGUACCGUAAGAAUAAGCACCGGCUAACUACGUGCCAGCCGCCGCCGUAACAC
rnacentral:rRNA from 1 species